GAUUAACGCUAGCGGCAGGCCUAAUACAUGCAAGUCGAACGGGAUUCAAAGUAGCAAUAUUUUGAUGAGAGUGGCGCACGGGUGAGUAACACGUAUGCAAUUUACCUUUAACUGGGGGAUAGCCCUCCGAAAGGAGGAUUAAUACCGCAUAAUAUAUUGAAAUGGCAUCAUUUUAAUAUUAAACCUACGGGGGUUAAAGAUGAGCAUGCAUCCGAUUAGCUAGUUGGUGUGGUAACGGCUCACCAAGGCAACGAUCGGUAGGGGGUCUGAGAGGAUGAUCCCCCACACUGGUACUGAGACACGGACCAGACUCCUACGGGAGGCAGCAGUAAGGAAUAUUGGACAAUGGAGGCAACUCUGAUCCAGCCAUGCCGCGUGAAGGAUUAAGGCCCUAUGGGUUGUAAACUUCUUUUAGACGGGACAAAACCCCUUUACGUGUAAAGGGUUGAUGGUACUGUCAGAAUAAGCAUCGGCUAACUUCGUGCCAGCAGCCGCGGU
rnacentral:rRNA from 1 species